ensembl:lncRNA
GGGGUGCUUGGCCUGCUGGCCGGGCCGGUCCUGGCGGGGGUCUUUCGGGGCGGGUGGCGCGUGCCGCGCCCUUGCGUACCUACUGGUACGGCCCCUGCUUGGGCAGUGCCCCGUGAGGUAGGGUGUCGGGGGCCGGAAUAGGGGGCCACAUCCCGGCGGGGCGGUCUGGCUUGGCCCUUGGAGGGGGCCCUGGCUUUAAAAAAAAAAAAGAACUGAAGCUCGUGGCGCGGGCGGCAUCAGUGAAGGGUGAUCUGGGGCGCCGUGGGGGGCUAGGUUGGGGUGCCUGGGGGCCGGCGGGGAGACUCCCAGCGGCCCCCUGGUGCCUUAUGCGGCUUGGGGUGUGGUCGUCCUCCCUGGGCGGGCUGCUCCUGGUGCUGCAUCCGUUCCGGGUCCUUCUGGCCUGGGGUCGGGCCCCUGCUGGCUCUGGGCUCGCCGGCGGGUGCCCACUGGCUGCCUGUUCGGCGCGGUUCUGGUCGUCUGCUGGGUGUGGGCUUCGGCUCCUCCGCUGGGGCCUCGGGCAGGGAGUUCUCUGGGCCCUCCCCUCGGGGGGUUAGGCGCGGGGGUGGGGUGGGGGGGUGGGGGGGUCGAUGGGGUGGGGGGUCUGGGGGUUGGGGGUGGGAUCGGUGGCGUGGUGCGCUGGGUCCUUGGCUCCUUGGGGCUUUCUCGGGUGUGUAUGGGGGGGCGAUGGCUGCCUCUCGGCUUGGGAUCUUGGGGGCGUUCGGGGGACUGCUUGGCCGUGGGGUGGUCGCCGGGGGCCCUUAGGCUGCCUGCUCUUGCUGCUGGCCUGACUGCUUCUUCGGGCCCGGGGGCGGCUCUUGGGUUUUGCAGUGGCGGUACUUGGAAAUACAUUUGUCAUGGAUGCACUGGCCUUGGGCUGUGGGAUAACACUCAUACUGGGCUCAACCUUAGACACGUUGUUCCCAAAUACCUGUUUUAUGGAAUUUCCACUCACCUCUUCCUCUGUUCACAGCCACCACCAUUAUUCCUAAACCACACACUGGUCACCAAACUGGCUUGACAACACAACAAUAAACACAAUAUACACAACCACAAUUUCACAUCGCAUCACUUAAAACUAUUCCUCACCCAUUCCAUAUCCUAUCUUGUAUCCCUCUUCCCUGCUAACUUCCCCACCCCCC